GGAUCAUUAAUGAUUGCGAAUGGUUGCCUUCGGUGCUGGCUCUUGCAAGUGCACGUUGGUGGCUUUCAUCCAAUACCCCUGUGAACCUUUGGCCUCUUGCUAGCUUCGGCGUGCAGAGGAUUUUUACACACUCGAAUGUAAUGAAAACUAUUGUCGUGCGCAAGCACUAAUGUACAACUUUCAACAACGGAUCUCUUGGCUCUCGCAUCGAUGAAGAACGCAGCGAAAUGCGAUAAGUAAUGUGAAUUGCAGAAUUCAGUGAAUCAUCGAAUCUUUGAACGCACCUUGCACCCUUUGGUAUUCCGAAGGGUAUGCUCGUUUGAGUGUCAUUGUACUCUCACACUCUCUGAUCCUUUGGAUUCAGGGAGUGGUGGACUUGGGUGUUUGCUGCUUUCCGGUGGCUCACCUCAAAUGCGUUAGUGCACCUCUUGGUUGGACAUAGUACGGCGUGAUAAGUAUCUUCGCCGGCACCUCGCAAGAGGGUGGCCGAUUGGGAGCUCUGUGCUUUCAAACCGUCUUCGGACAAUCUUGACAACUUGACCUCAAAUCGAGUAGGACUACCCGCUGAACUUAAGCAUAUCAAUAAGCGGAGGA
rnacentral:rRNA from 1 species